rnacentral:lncRNA from 1 species
GUAGGCUGACUAAGGAGUGCAAUAAAUUUGUGAAGUCUGCUGGAAAUAAUAACUAGAGAUGGUUGCAGCAAGAGUUCUUUGCAAUGAACGAUUGUUCAAGGCUUAAGAUGAGAUAAUAAGACUGAAGUACACUAUAGCAUCGAAUAAAGCCACCAGUGAAACCAGACCAAAUUCAGCUGCCCAGAUCGAUCAACUUCAAGGCAAUCUUCAUUUGGCUGAGGACUUGAUUAGAGAACUCAAUCAAGGGAUAGAAACUAAGAGAUCGACAACUGAUGUCCUUCGAUGCGAACUCAUUUUGACUCGGUAGACCUCUGCUGACCUUUUAGAAGC